rnacentral:rRNA from 1 species
AGAUGGCGACCGGCGCACGGGUGAGUAACACGUAUCCAACCUGCCUCAUACUCGGGGAUGGCCUUUCGAAAGAAAGAUUAAUAUCCGAUAGCAUAUAUUUCCCGCAUGGGUUUUAUAUUAAAGAAAUUCGGUAUGAGAUGGGGAUGCGUUCCAUUAGUUUGUUGGGGGGUAACGACCCACCAAGACUACGAUGGAUAGGGGUUCUGAGAGGAAGGUCCCCCACAUUGGAACUGAGACACGGUCCAA